GGGUUGUGAGGUUAAGCGACUAAGCGUACACGGUGGAUGCCCUGGCAGUCAGAGGCGAUGAAGGGCGUGCUAAUCUGCGAUAAGCGCCGGUAAGGUGAUAUGAACCGUUAUAACCGGCGAUACCCGAAUGGGGAAACCCAGUGUGACUCGUCACACUAUCAUUAACUGAAUCCAUAGGUUAAUGAGGCGAACCGGGGGAACUGAAACAUCUAAGUACCCCGAGGAAAAGAAAUCAACCGAGAUUCCCCCAGUAGCGGCGAGCGAACGGGGAGGAGCCCAGAGCCUGAAUCAGCAUGUGUGUUAGUGGAAGCGUCUGGAAAGGCGCGCGAUACAGGGUGACAGCCCCGUACACAAAAGCGCAUGUGCUGUGAGCUCGAUGAGUAGGGCGGGACACGUGGUAUCCUGUCUGAAUAUGGGGGGACCAUCCUCCAAGGCUAAAUACUCCUGACUGACCGAUAGUGAACCAGUACCGUGAGGGAAAGGCGAAAAGAACCCCGGCGAGGGGAGUGAAAAAGAACCUGAAACCGUGUACGUACAAGCAGUGGGAGCACAGGUUUACCUGUGUGACUGCGUACCUUUUGUAUAAUGGGUCAGCGACUUAUAUUCUGUAGCAAGGUUAACCGAAUAGGGGAGCCGCAGGGAAACCGAGUCUUAAUUGGGCGUUAAGUUGCAGGGUAUAGACCCGAAACCCGGUGAUCUAGCCAUGGGCAGGUUGAAGGUUGGGUAACACUAACUGGAGGACCGAACCGACUAAUGUUGAAAAAUUAGCGGAUGACCUGUGGCUGGGGGUGAAAGGCCAAUCAAACCGGGAGAUAGCUGGUUCUCCCCGAAAGCUAUUUAGGUAGCGCCUCGUGAAUUCAUCUCCGGGGUAGAGCACUGUUUCGGCUAGGGGGCCAUCCCGGCUUACCAACCCGAUGCAAACUGCGAAUACCGGAGAAUGUUAUCACGGGAGACACACGGCGGGUGCUAACGUCCGUCGUGAAGAGGGAAACAACCCAGACCGCCAGCUAAGGUCCCAAAGUCAUGGUUAAGUGGGAAACGAUGUGGGAAGGCCCAGACAGCCAGGAUGUUGGCUUAGAAGCAGCCAUCAUUUAAAGAAAGCGUAAUAGCUCACUGGUCGAGUCGGCCUGCGCGGAAGAUGUAACGGGGCUAAACCAUGCACCGAAGCUGCGGCAGCGAACGUAUCACCCAAGACAACUUUACGGAGUUGACGAUUGACGGAGCGAAGCGACGUCAAAGCGUUCAUUAAAGUCGAGUUGGCUUAGGGAUACGUUCGUUGGGUAGGGGAGCGUUCUGUAAGCCUGCGAAGGUGGCCUGUGAGGGUUGCUGGAGGUAUCAGAAGUGCGAAUGCUGACAUAAGUAACGAUAAAGCGGGUGAAAAGCCCGCUCGCCGGAAGACCAAGGGUUCCUGUCCAACGUUAAUCGGGGCAGGGUGAGUCGACCCCUAAGGCGAGGCCGAAAGGCGUAGUCGAUGGGAAACGGGUUAAUAUUCCCGUACUUGGUGUUACUGCGAAGGGGGGACGGAGAAGGCUAUGUUGGCCGGGCGACGGUUGUCCCGGUUUAAGCGUGUAGGUGUGUGUUCCAGGUAAAUCCGGUUCACUUUAACACUGAGGCGUGAUGACGAGGCACUACGGUGCUGAAGCAACAAAUGCCCUGCUUCCAGGAAAAGCCUCUAAGCAUCAGGUAACAUCAAAUCGUACCCCAAACCGACACAGGUGGUCAGGUAGAGAAUACCAAGGCGCUUGAGAGAACUCGGGUGAAGGAACUAGGCAAAAUGGUGCCGUAACUUCGGGAGAAGGCACGCUGACAUGUAGGUGAAGUGAUUUACUCAUGGAGCUGAAGUCAGUCGAAGAUACCAGCUGGCUGCAACUGUUUAUUAAAAACACAGCACUGUGCAAACACGAAAGUGGACGUAUACGGUGUGACGCCUGCCCGGUGCCGGAAGGUUAAUUGAUGGGGUCAGCGCAAGCGAAGCUCCUGAUCGAAGCCCCGGUAAACGGCGGCCGUAACUAUAACGGUCCUAAGGUAGCGAAAUUCCUUGUCGGGUAAGUUCCGACCUGCACGAAUGGCGUAAUGAUGGCCAGGCUGUCUCCACCCGAGACUCAGUGAAAUUGAACUCGCUGUGAAGAUGCAGUGUACCCGCGGCAAGACGGAAAGACCCCGUGAACCUUUACUAUAGCUUGACACUGAACAUUGAGCCUUGAUGUGUAGGAUAGGUGGGAGGCUUUGAAGUGUGGACGCCAGUCUGCAUGGAGCCGACCUUGAAAUACCACCCUUUAAUGUUUGAUGUUCUAACGUGGACCCGUUAUCCGGGUUGCGGACAGUGUCUGGUGGGUAGUUUGACUGGGGCGGUCUCCUCCUAAAGAGUAACGGAGGAGCACGAAGGUUGGCUAAUCCUGGUCGGACAUCAGGAGGUUAGUGCAAUGGCAUAAGCCAGCUUGACUGCGAGCGUGACGGCGCGAGCAGGUGCGAAAGCAGGUCAUAGUGAUCCGGUGGUUCUGAAUGGAAGGGCCAUCGCUCAACGGAUAAAAGGUACUCCGGGGAUAACAGGCUGAUACCGCCCAAGAGUUCAUAUCGACGGCGGUGUUUGGCACCUCGAUGUCGGCUCAUCACAUCCUGGGGCUGAAGUAGGUCCCAAGGGUAUGGCUGUUCGCCAUUUAAAGUGGUACGCGAGCUGGGUUUAGAACGUCGUGAGACAGUUCGGUCCCUAUCUGCCGUGGGCGCUGGAGAACUGAGGGGGGCUGCUCCUAGUACGAGAGGACCGGAGUGGACGCAUCACUGGUGUUCGGGUUGUCAUGCCAAUGGCACUGCCCGGUAGCUAAAUGCGGAAGAGAUAAGUGCUGAAAGCAUCUAAGCACGAAACUUGCCCCGAGAUGAGUUCUCCCUGAGACUUUAGGUCUCCUGAAGGAACGUUGAAGACGACGACGUUGAUAGGCCGGGUGUGUAAGCGCAGCGAUGCGUUGAGCUAACCGGUACUAAUGAACCGUGAGGCUUAACCUUACAACGCCGAAG
rnacentral:rRNA from 1 species